rnacentral:lncRNA from 1 species
AAUACAGGUUUCAUUACCUCAGAAAUUUUGCAGGGAUGUAAUCAGAUUUGUUGACGAUUGAAUGAGAAAAUGAAUUUUAUAUAUUGAGGCAACAGUGGCCUAUCAAUACUAGUACAUGUAUGUUGAAUAAUGAUUUUUGCUUGUAGAUGUAAAUUUUCAGUCAGUAUAAACACCUCCAGUAUUUCUUUUUUUUAUCUUUUUUUUUAGUAUUUUGUAUUUAUUAUUUUGUUUUCAGGCCCCAAGUCUGGAAGUGAAGGAUGCCUGGGUAAAGGAAAUAAAGAAGGUUUUGUUGAACCAGUUUGAUGAUAUAAAAGUUGUACAUACAACAACAAAUCCCAUAUCAGAGGAGCACUUAUCAAGUCACAUGAUGUCCCAGAAUAACUCCAUUAAAAGUAUUGACAACUGGAGGUCUCAGCACUCUCUCAACAACAACACGACGGUUCCGAUCGGUCUGGGUAUGGUGUCGCCCAUAGACUCUCCCUCCAGUCCCACCCAGGCAGUCGAUUACGGGGAUGACGAGGGGUGGUCCAGUGGGGAGUUGUAUAAUCGUUUGGCGGCAGGGACUACUACCACAGCUGAGCUAGUCUGGCCAGCACUAGCGCCACCAACAGUCCAGAGGAGACAACUGUCUGAAAUAAAAUGUCAUCGUCAGAUCAGUUUUGUCAUGAAGACCAUUCACAACCAUCAUUACUACAACUGCAAUCGUCUGAAUCUUGAGCAUUCAAUGAUGUUUUGCCAUGAAAACAAGAAAGUUAUCCUCAUCUUGAUCAAUUGCAGCUGUCUGUCUACAUUAUUGUUAUGGGAAUAAGAAUGUUCACAAGUGUCAUGGCUGCCUCCAAGCAUCUGCACUUUGAGCAUUCAGCGAUGUUUUGCCAUGGAAACAAGACAGUUUUCAGAACAUGAUAACUUCAUCUUGGUGAAUUGCUGUCUGUCAGCAUCUGAAGCACAGAAAACUGGAAUGUCUGUGAACAUUAUUGUUAUGGGAAUAAGAAUUUUUCACAGGAUGUGAUCAUCAUUUCAGAGAAGCUCAAACAUGCACUGUUGAUGUCGUCAAGAAAACGAAUGCUUGGGAUCUACAAUUUAAUCUGACCUGAACUGACACCAACAGAAUGUCAUGCGGACAUGAUGAAAACGUACUAUGAACAUUUGUUACUUUGAUGUUAAAAUUAAGAGACCGCAAUCUCAAAAUAUAUGACAUGAAAUAUUCUGGAAAAUAUUUCAAUAAGUCUGGUCAUCUCAAUAUUUGUAGACAUUCUUUUAAUUCUUCCUGGACAUAACUGUCAUGUGGAAAAAAUAACCUUUUAGCCUGAAUGUAUAGUCAACUCAAUCGUUUAAAUAUUUCCUUGAAAACCAAGCUUAAGUUGAUCAUUCUUAGACAUAACCAACAUGAAGAAUGAUGUAUGACAUUUUAUCUCGUACUUCAGUAUGAUUUGGAUGAGUUUGUGGGCAGCGUCAAUACCUGGUCUCUUCAUCAGAUACUGUUUGUCUAGAUGCUGCUGCCAUGGAAAGAAAAACUAUACAACCUUUUUGAUAUAAUUGCAUUGCACUUUGGAUGAGUUUUUGUGUAACAUCGAUAUUUGGCCAUCUGAAUGGAAAUCCAGGAAGAUCAGAAGCUGUCUCAAUACUCUUCUGCAAUUAAAAGAUAUAUAUGACCUUUUUAUCUCUUACUUAAGUUAACUUGGAUGAGUAUGUGGAUCACAUUGAUAGUUUGUCAUCUUCAGAGAUAUUUAAGCAGAUCAGAUGCUGUUUCUAUAUAGAUCCAACUGUCAUAGAAGAACGUGUUUUCACUCUUCAGUCUAGCUGUUAUUUUAUAUCAUCUUUGGGUGAUUGUUGAAUUGACAUUUCAGAACAUGGUAAUCUCCAUAGUUACCUGACAGAUGGCCAAUGAAAACUGAUUGGUAGUUCCUGUAGACGUCACUGCCAUGCUGUGUAUUCAGGACAUAAGCUAGUCAUGGAUUCGUUCCUGUCAUUUUGCUGCCCCAACUUUUAUAUAUCUUGGGGUCUUAUAGUUUGUCUGUGUGUUCAUCUUUCAGUACUCUUGUGAUCGAUUCUUAGUUUUAAUAAUGUGUACAGAUGUUCUGCCAACAUAAGAUGUAUACAUUCUUUUAUAUAAUAAUUCAGAAACUUGCAGCUUAUUGACUUUCAGUAUGGCUCUGAGAAUAAAAAAGCAAUGAUUCUAAAAGAAAUUCACAUUAUCUGUGUAUUUGUGUAUUAUAUUAUGGAAAUGCAAACAAUAUACAAUACACAAUCCAACAGUAAAGUCAACUAAAUGUCUAUGUAUCUAUCCUGCAAUCACUGUAUACAAAUAUAUUGGCAGAUAAUGAUCAUUAGAUACAUUUCUAUUUUCGGACACUGACAAAAAAUAGAGCUUUUUGGAACUAGUUAUGAUCAGCAAAGGAAUAGUGUAUUGUUAAGUGUAGGUAUUUAUUAUUUUAUUUCCAGUUGAUGGGGUUUUUAAAAACAUUUCGUAGACAAUAUUUGUUUAAAAAUAAGAAAUAAAUUGUUGUUAUUUAAGAAUAAUUUUUUGUUAGUGUAUAGAUAAUGUAGGCGAUAGACAUUCAAAACGUGUGAGCUUACUACCCUACAAAAUAGUAAAGUUAAAUUGUGUAAUAAAAUGGUUAAUUUCAUUAAUAUUUUGAGUUAUAUAGGAUUGCAGGAUAAAUAACAUAACCAGUUACUAUAGGUUAUCAGUUGAGUUUAUUGUUGUCUUCUAAAUUGUCCAGACUUAUCCCAUACUUUCGUCUCUGCUAGUUUUACCUGUAUACAUAUAUUUUUUACGGUUUUAAUUUUAAUGAAAAUACCAAAUCAUGAAUUAUUUUCAAAGAUGUUUGUUUUUACUGUCAGUUGAUGUUUAUAAUGCCUGUUAUGGUGUUUUGCCAAUUAAUUUGUUUUACAGAAGCCAAACUUGAGCUAAGAAUUGCUUGGUGUAUAGAUGAAUUAAAGACUACAGUUGGCUGUCUACAUUGCGUAAUCAUGCAGUUAUUGAUUUUUAGAUUGCUUUGAAAUUUGUUUUUAAAAUAUUUUUAAGGAUAACAAUUACUGAUCAGUUGUAUUUAUCAUAGCUAUGAUAAAUGAUGUAUUGAUCAGCUGGUAAAUGGUGUACUUUUCAACUGUUGAAUUAUGCAGCUAGUCUCAUGUGUUCUGGUUUUAGGAAUGUCAAAUAUUUCUUGGACUCAGAAUUCAAAAUUGGGAAUCAUUAUAAUAUAUGUAUAUUUACUACCAAAAUUCAAAAACAGUCUACAUAUAUAUGUAGCAGUAUCAGAUUUUUCACAUUUCUCAAACACAGAAAGGAAAACAGCUACGGGUGGGUCCAGACAAUUUAUUUGAUGUCACACAAAAUGAAGACAAGGAAAAACACCCUACAAGAACAAUUAAACAACAAUAAAUAUCACAUCAUAGAAUACAUGUAGAAUCAAAGUAUUAAAUAAUUUAUGUAUACAUAUAACAUUUAUAUCACAAUUUAAGCAAAUGUAUAUCUUUUAAUCAUAUUCAUCUCAUCAUAAAACUAAUGUAAAUUGAAUUAUCCUGCUUUAAAUCCUAAGUAUUUAAUGCCAAACUAUAAAAACAUUUGAUAACAAAGCAAAUACAUAUAAUAAGUACACUUGAUGAACAUGACAAAUACAACUGGUCAUAUACCACAAUUAUACAUGAAAAACUGAUAUUUGAUAAACAUAAUACAUAAAAACUCAUACCAGGUAGAUGACACCUGGGUGUAAGAUAAACUGGAUUCUCCAGCACACAGAAAGAGAACAGGACAAUCUACAAUUCAAAUACAAGACAUAUAAAAGAAACUAUUGACAAUCACAUAUCGUUAAACACGAUGAACUAAAACACAUACACAUACAAAUACACACACAAUUAACAUGACAUUCAGAUUGUAGUUUUUCUUUAAGCCAGCUAUCUUGAACAAAUAUUAAUUCAAUGUAAUUUAAUCUAUAUACCCAAUAUAAAUACUCAUUACUUUAUACAUUCAUAAAGUAAUUAAACAAUAACUAGCCACAGUACUUUCUAAGGGUGUUAACUAACAAUGCAUGUAUACAAAACAUACAUAUAUUAAAUAAAACAAAAUACAGACUAACCUUUCAGAUAAUAUCCACUUUCAAAUAAUACUUGCAGUUCCACCUUUAAAAAUGAAAUCUGGCCUGACAAUAUAAUCUUAGCAGGAGAAAUAAACCUGAACACUAGAGACAAGUUGUUUUAUUCCCUGAUGCGUUAGUACAGUGUAAGCUGAAAGAAACGAUUACCACAAUUACAAGUUACCAGCCUAUUGUGUGACAUAACCUGGCUAAGAAUAAAAUAAAACAUUAGUUGCACAAUAAGCUGACAGCAGGCAAGCUGUAAAUAAAAACAUACAUUAAUUACAAAAGCUGAUAGCAGGCAAUAUCUGCAAAUAAAACAUUAAAUACAAAUCCUAACUAAAACAAAUACCACUUACUUCCACACACACACAUAUAUAUAUAUAUAUAUAUAUAUAUAUAUAUAUAUAUAUAUAUAUAUAUAUAUAUAUAUAUUCAGUACAUUUAUCAUAACAUGUUCAAGAGAUCCCUUUCUAGAAUUAUCAUUGCCCCCUCCCUACAUCCCCUUUUGAAAAUCCUAGACCCAUUCUUGUAUUUAUCACCUGGUAACCAUUAGCUAUAAAUAUUAUUUCUGCCAUAAUAAUCAGGUGAAAAUGCUUAAACAUGUGUUACCUAUAUAUGAGAAUCUCGUGAUGUUUAUUUAUUAACCACAUUUUGUACAGGUAUAUGUUACAAAUAGUACCCUGUGUUUGUGUUGCCACAGUAAUAAUGGUCUGGUUCCUUUUUACCUUGGAUUUGGUGCACUGUGUGAACAGAGCACGUUAUAUUUACCUCAGUUCUUAUGCAACCUACUUUACAUUCCAUCUUCGUUAUGUUCUCCUUGUCAAAACAAAACGGAACUACUUGAGUGAUCGCUACUACUUUGACCACUCAUAAUCGUAGUAAUAUAAAUAUUCAGUGUUUGUGGCUUUUAAUACUUUUAUCUAUUCAUGUAUAAGAAGUAUUGGUGAGAACUUAGAAAUCCGUUGUCAGCUGCUUGCUCUUUUUAGUAUACACCUGGAAAUUAAUUUACCACCACCUGAAUUAAUAUUGCAGCCAAAAUGGUGCCUAGACGUAGUUGUCCGUACCAUCAUGGUUUAAAUAAGAUAUUGAGAGUUUUGGUAUAUUCUGUAUCUACUGAAUUUGUACCGAAAUGACGUGAAUAAAUUACUCAAGAGAAGCUCAUUUGUGUGAUUGCAGCGUCAUAGUUAAUUACCAUACCAUAUAUUUUCAUGUAUAUUUAUUGAGUCUAUCUUUUGCCCUAAAAUACAUUAAAUAUUGGUAGUGAAUGUCAUCACAGCUGUACUGUAGGUCAGUGGUAAAGCGCUUGCUUGAUGCAU